AAUCCAUAGGUUAAUGAGGCGAACCGGGGGAACUGAAACAUCUAAGUACCCCGAGGAAAAGAAAUCAACCGAGAUUCCCCCAGUAGCGGCGAGCGAACGGGGAGGAGCCCAGAGCCUGAAUCAGCAUGUGUGUUAGUGGAAGCGUCUGGAAAGGCGCGCGAUACAGGGUGACAGCCCCGUACACAAAAGCGCAUGUGCUGUGAGCUCGAUGAGUAGGGCGGGACACGUGGUAUCCUGUCUGAAUAUGGGGGGACCAUCCUCCAAGGCUAAAUACUCCUGACUGACCGAUAGUGAACCAGUACCGUGAGGGAAAGGCGAAAAGAACCCCGGCGAGGGGAGUGAAAAAGAACCUGAAACCGUGUACGUACAAGCAGUGGGAGCACAGGUUUACCUGUGUGACUGCGUACCUUUUGUAUAAUGGGUCAGCGACUUAUAUUCUGUAGCAAGGUUAACCGUAUAGGGGAGCCGGAGGGAAACCGAGUCUUAACCGGGCGUUAAGUUGCAGGGUAUAGACCCGAAACCCGGUGAUCUAGCCAUGGGCAGGUUGAAGGUUGGGUAACACUAACUGGAGGACCGAACCGACUAAUGUUGAAAAAUUAGCGGAUGACCUGUGGCUGGGGGUGAAAGGCCAAUCAAACCGGGAGAUAGCUGGUUCUCCCCGAAAGCUAUUUAGGUAGCGCCUCGUGAACUCAUCUCCGGGGGUAGAGCACUGUUUCGGCUAGGGGGCCAUCCCGGCUUACCAACCCGAUGCAAACUGCGAAUACCGGAGAAUGUUAUCACGGGAGACACACGGCGGGUGCUAACGUCCGUCGUGAAGAGGGAAACAACCCAGACCGCCAGCUAAGGUCCCAAAGUCAUGGUUAAGUGGGAAACGAUGUGGGAAGGCCCAGACAGCCAGGAUGUUGGCUUAGAAGCAGCCAUCAUUUAAAGAAAGCGUAAUAGCUCACUGGUCGAGUCGGCCUGCGCGG
rnacentral:rRNA from 1 species